rnacentral:rRNA from 1 species
GGAUUCGAUCAUACCAGCACUAAAGCACCGGAUCCCAUCAGAACUUCGAAGUUAAGCGUGCUUGGGCGAGAGUAGUACUAGGAUGGGUGACCUCCUGGGAAGUCCUAGUGUUGCAUUCC